ACCUCGGAAGCUGAUGUCUUGGACCUGCUCUCUUUGGUGGGACAUCUAUAUUUGCUCACCACUCAGCUUGGAUCUAGAAGGUUGUCAGGACACCCAUUGGAUGCUCAGAGACUAACUGCAUCUUCUCAACCGCAACCUAGAGUGGGUCCAUCUGGCUUCCUUUCCCUGAUUGGUGCAUACCUGUAUCCCCAAUACAGGAACUGGUUCCAAAGACUCUACAGGGACUUCUUGAAGCAAAAUGGAAAACGGAGUCGGUGGUCUCAGAAGUCAGCAGAGGAUCUGGGGAGAGUUUCAGGGAAUCAGAGCCCAGCUUAGAGUGAACAAUGUCUUCCAAACAGUA